AAUCUUAGACAAUGGGGGCAACCCUGAUCUAGCCAUGCCGCGUGAGUGAUGAAGGCCUUAGGGUUGUAAAGCUCUUUCAGCUGGGAAGAUAAUGACGGUACCAGCAGAAGAAGCCCCGGCUAACUCCGUGCCAGCAGCCGCGGUAAUACGGAGGGGGCUAGCGUUGUUCGGAAUUACUGGGCGUAAAGCGCACGUAGGCGGACUGGAAAGUCAGAGGUGAAAUCCCAGGGCUCAACCUUGGAACUGCCUUUGAAACUAUCAGUCUGGAGUUCGAGAGAGGUGAGUGGAAUUCCGAGUGUAGAGGUGAAAUUCGUAGAUAUUCGGAGGAACACCAGUGGCGAAGGCGGCUCACUGGCUCGAUACUGACGCUGAGGUGCGAAAGCGUGGGGAGCAAACAGG
rnacentral:rRNA from 1 species